CAGCCGCCACGGGAAUACGUAGGGUGCAAGCGUUAAUCGGAAUUACUGGGCGUAAAGCGUGCGCAGGCGGUUUUGUAAGACAGAGGUGAAAUCCCCGGGCUCAACCUGGGAACUGCCUUUGUGACUGCAAGGCUAGAGUACGGCAGAGGGGGAUGGAAUUCCGCGUGUAGCAGUGAAAUGCGUAGAUAUGCGGAGGAACACCGAUGGCGAAGGCAAUCCCCUGGGCCUGUACUGACGCUCAUGCACGAAAGCGUGGGGAGCAAACAGGAUUAGAGACCCCCGUAGUCCCUGUCUCUUAUAC
rnacentral:rRNA from 1 species